ensembl:lncRNA
AUCCUCCAGAUAUUUGCUGAAUACUUAUUCCUGUAACUUCUCUCUCUCUUAUUCUAUCAUAGUGAGUGUGUACGUGUACGUGUGGGUGUGUGCACAUGAACUCAACGAUGCAUUGAGUGUUUUAUUGUGACAAUUAUAUGCUAUGGUGAAAUUUGUGGAGAUAUAGGAUACAUUUUCUUAGAAAGCUCCCCUUCUGGUUAGACUAUAUCUGAAGCAGUCUUUAGUAUUUGGUGCCAAAUUUUAAGGAAUAUAUCAACAAGUAAGAGCAUGAAAAAAAUGAGAAGUCUAAAAAAGAUUAGCCUGGUUGUGCUCACAAUAACUCCCAUGCAGUGGUUGAAGACCUGUUUUGUAGACGAAAGCCUUGGCUAAAUUUGUGUAGCUUCUUGUAUAACUUGGGAGAAGUCAUUAGGGACAUUGUAAAUGUAAAAACACAUUUUGAUUUAGUAGGCUGCCUUGUGAGGAAGAGUUUAAAUGGAAAUUCACCUUAGAAGAGAGAGAGGUGGGAUGAAAGAAAUCCCCACACCUCCUUUCAGUCUGAAUAUUCUUUUAAUAUUUAAUCCAUUUUUCACUUUAAAAUGACUGCCUCAGUGCAUCAGUCAGAGCCUCCAUUCUGGAACCAUCAACAAUCGGUUAAAAACAAGGGAGUCUGAAGCUCUAGAAGAGAGAGAAACCACAAGAUAAACGGUUCCAGGACAUGACCACUUGGAACGCUGACCACCAAUCAAGGAAUAUCUGUUUUGGACUUCCUGAGAGCAAGAAAUAUGCUUCUCUUAGCAAGUCUGGCCCUGAGCUAACCUCCGUGCCCAUCUUCCUUUACUUUAUGUGUGGGACGCCUACCACAGUAUGGCCUGCCAAGCCGUGUCAUGUCCGCACCUGGGAUCCAAACUGGCAAACCCUGGGCUUCCGAGAAGCGGAACAUGUGAACUUAACUGCUGUGCCACCAGACCGCCCCCUGCAGGACAUUGACCCUUGCAUAUUGAAGACAGAAUUCUUCAUUUUUCCUCAACAAAUGUUGAGCAAAGCACUUAUCAGAAUCUGCGGGAACUGAAAAGAUAAGUGAGACACACGUUGUAUCCUCUAAGUGCUUACAGUUUAGUGGGGGCUAAAAAUCACUCCUCAAAUUAAUAUACACUGUAAGUGUCAAAACGGAGAUAGUUCAAGGUUUUAUGGAUGAGAGAGAUUGUAUUUAGCUGAUCCCGGAACAGGCCAUGCUUGAACGGAGCAGCAGCAUUUAAUGUACAUCCUGAAAGAGUAAGUGUUGGGCAAAUCAAAACAAAGCAGGGGGCAUUGAAAGGUGAAGGCAAACGUGUCUUAGUAAACACAAAGCAUAUCUAAGAAAUUGUAAGUGGUUCUGUUUUGGAGGGUAUGCUGAACUAGAAUACAGAGUUUCAUGUGUAUUUUGAAAAUGUGAGGGAAUCCACUUACAGAUUUUACUUUCUUUUUUAAAAUUUUAGAUGUUGAAGUAAUUAUGGACUCUUAGGAAACACAUAGUUUAAAGAGUCUCAUGUAGCCAUCACUCAGCUUCCCACAAUGGCGGCAUUGUACACAGCUAUAGUAUAGCACCAAAACCAGGAAAUUGACAUUGAUACGUCACUGUUAGCUAGAAUGCAUUCAGUUUUCACUAUUUUUUUAACCUGUAUUAAUCUGUAUGUUUGUGUAUGUGUGGAAUUUUUAAUUUUUAAUCAGGGGAAUAAUAUAAUUGGCAUUGGGCCUUCAGAAGAUUAUCUGGCAACAGUAUACAGGCAAGACUGGAAGCAGGAAAACCAAAUCAAAAAUUACUCCAACAGUACAGGAGAGGGAAAAUGAGAGCCUGUAAUAGAUAAUGCCCAGUGCAGGGCUGUAUAUAGGUAAACAGUGUGGUGAGUGAACUGGGGUUUAUAUUUUCACACUACGUUUUUUUGAAUGUAAAAAUAAUAUGAUCCUUUUUCAGUUUGGCAAUGUGUGUACACUGGCAGGAGUCAGAAGGAUAACAUAGAACCCAGCGAGUUUCUGUAUGGCACAUUCAACAGUGUACUGGAAGAUGUCCAAUAUAAGGAGACUGGAGAAACAAGACAAUUCUCAUUUGGAGUGAGGUAAAUAGCUCAGGUCAGAGAAGAUUAGAUCAAGAAUCCCAGGCCAUAAAUCAGCAAUCAGAGUGAUACUGUGAGAAAAGUGAAGAGGCAGGUGCUUCUUGCCCUAACUGCUGGUAGACAGCUUAUUGUUCUUUCUACAUUAGCUUGCUAAUAGCUAAUUGUAAUUUCAAAAUAAAAAAUCUUCUUUUUAAAUUCAAG